GUCAAGUCAUCAUGGCCCUUAUGUCCAGGGCUACACACGUGCUACAAUGGCAGGGACAAAGCGAGCCGAAACCGUGAGGUGGAGGAAAUCGCAAAAACCCUGCCCCAGUUCAGAUCGAAGGCUGCAACUCGCCUUCGUGAAGUUGGAAUCGCUAGUAAUCGCGGAUCAGCUACGCCGCGGUGAAUGUGUUCCUGAGCCUU
rnacentral:rRNA from 1 species